GGAGCUUUCUGGGUAGGUGUUGUGCUUCUCUGAGGCUGUCACUGGCUGUUGGAAGAGCUCAUCAUAAACACUAUCAUUUUUCCUGCCUUGUCCACUGGAGCUGUGCUGUGAUCAUCUUGAAGACUCCAAGCCAGAAUGGCAAACCUUGAUUCCUCAGAAAGUAGAGGUGCUCUUCUCCAGGCACUCAUGAGGGCUAUUUAACUUUCCAAGCUCAUACAACUCUGCAGGCACAGAUACAUCUGUGCAAGUGUUUGAAAAAAGGUUUGACAAGACAGGGAAGGUGGAUCUAAAGGAAAUAAAGUAGGAAUUACCAGUGCUAGGACUGUCCUAGGAUCCAAAACUCCCUUUAUCAGUAGUAAAAGCAAGCCGAACUUCUCAUACAUCGUAAUGACUUAAGUAUGUCCAGGUCAGCCUGCUUUCAUGACCUGGUGAACCUGAUGGCUGACCAGCCAGAUGGAAAGAUCUUUUCAGUGGAUGAACGCAGAGCACUGAUAUGGGGACUGAAAUAAAGUUAAAAACAAAACACACAGCUCUGGUCUGUGGACUGGUGUGAUUCAGGCCUGUUGUGGUGAACUGCAAAUCACCACACUGUGCUGGGCAUGCUAUGUAUGUGUUACUGUGAGAAACAAGCAAAGUAGUGAUCUGUGAGUACAAAUGUAUAGGCAACAGUGAGGAGCAGUCACCUUCCAAAGGACUGCUUUCUGCAGCGGAAUGUCCCUGGACAGGAAGCUCUUGGGUUGUGUUGUGUCUCCAACACUGCGGAGAGACCUCCAGGAAAAUGCCUUGCAACAGUCUGGAACUGCUGCUUCUGCUCAACUGCCCAGAUGUGCACCAUGGCCCUGAGCCAUCCUCAACAGGAAAAGAUGACCCACAAGUGACCAUUUAAGCUCUUUCUCUAUCCAAUUUGGCUCAGCCAUGUGGCAUCUGCCUUCCACUGCACUGCCACAGAUCUGCACGCAGCAAAUCCCUGCCUAAUAAUGAGUGCUGGGCUCAGCACAUGCUGCGACAAUGCAAGGUGGCUGUCUGCUGGUUGGAAAUCACAGAAGGGCAUUGAAAUGCAGAAGAGUUGGAGGGUGUGUUAGUGGAAACCCACAUCCCUGGCCUAUAGCAUCCCUCAGAGCAUCCCAUGAGAACCCUGGAGGGUAGGUACAUAGUCCAGGAUUGGAGCAAUGCACUGGAGAUAUCUACCUUGAAUGCUGUGUGUGCAUUUCAGGAGGGGGAAAAAAAAACAGCUCAAGGCAAUGUAGACACAUCAGUUUAAAAGGAAACAGAUUAAAGAUGGUCAUGUGAGUACAGCUGGGUCCUAGCUGUUAUGCCAUUUGCAUUUGUAGGUAGAUAUCUAACUGGCAAAGAUUCCUCCCUCUCCUUCCCUGCAGGAUAUAAAUCUUGUGGAAUGCUAUUCAUGCUGCCACCCACCCAUUACUGAGGGGCCCAGAUGGGUUUUAUCCCAUCUCUGGGAACUGAAUUCAGUAGGACAGCCUGAGAAAAGAGAUUCAAGGAGUCCAAGCUCACAACGGACAAAGUUAAGGCAGGCUGAAUGGCAAAGGUUUGGAUGGCUUUCCCAGUCUCCUUGUGUUUGUGUGGCUACUCAUUGCCUCAUCAGUAUCUGCAGCAUAAGCUGUUAAGUGCCAUGGGGGCAUUUACUCUGAGGUAGAGAGCUUGGCCAGUGCUGAUGGCUGCUAAGGGUAUGAAAAUGCAGAACAGCUGUCUGCAGAAGUGAGUUUUGAACUCCAGGCUGUUUCAUUUCCAGCUGAGCGCAUUUUCCCUUAUUUUCCUGCAUACAGAGAGAACAUGUUCUCUUGCAUCUAAGUGCCACUCCUUGUCUCUACAAUACAACAGAACAAAUAGCCUAAUCAGACUGAAAUGCAGAGCAUGCUGAAAAACUGGGAACA